GAAGAAUGCCUUUUGGGGUUUUACUCGCUUUGUUUCCUUUCUAGCAAAGCUGGACUUGGUAGCACCCCAGCUAUUCAGAAUUUCUCAGCUAUGUAGAAAAGUUUCACGGGGCAUGGCAAUGGCAUGGCCGCAUGGGAUGGGGGCCUUGUUUUGACUUUUGAGCAACAAAGCUCAGUUCUGACUAGGGGCUGCCGCAGCAGCAGAUACCCCGUUGUUGGGCCUGUUCGCUUCAGCUUAUAAGCCAGCUGAAAAGCCGAAACGGCUGAUUUAUUGUGAGAGAAAAAUAUUGUUUGGUGGCUGAUAAGCCGGCUGAAUAAGCUGAAGCGAACAGGCCCCUUGAUGUUGAGAUGCUUAGCACGCCAAAGCUGCGAAGGCUUCGUGUCAGUCUGCCCCUAACCCACAGUUCUUAGUGGUACAAACUGAGAAAUGACUUGUCCUGCCACUGCCAGAAAAGGAAUGACCUUCCAUUCUUGAAAUACUCACCUCAAGUUAUUUGUACAUGUAGUGUUUGCUGCAAUCUACUGCCUCGUUCCUUGAUGGAUGUUUUCCUUUUUCAAAUUGUGCUGUGCGCUUCCGGUCC
rnacentral:lncRNA from 1 species